AUCAUUUUUUUUUAAAAAAAAAUUCUUCUUCCUCUUUAUUUAAAGAACACUACUACACUCAACAUUCAAUAGGCUGCAGAAAAUAGAAAAACAAUAAUAAAGGUAGUAGGACAAUUUUAUAUAUGCUCACUGUAGGAAGUUAUUGAAGAAGUUGAAGACUUUUGCUGCUGAUUAAUGAUAUUUAUGGCUUCAUUCAAUAAGCAUCAUCAUGAGCUGAAAGUUGUAUUCAUCUUUGCUCUUUUAUGUUAUCCUCAUGUUACAGAUGGUGAAAAAGUAUCAAACUGGGGAAAGGAGACAAUAUUAUCAGGAAUGAAAGUAGGAUCAAGGCCACCAAGGUGUGAAGGAAAAUGCUCGAAUUGCAGGCCUUGUGUUGCUACAUUAAUAGCUCCUGGUCAUCAAGUCAAGAAAGUUACCAUUUCUGCCUCUAAAGAAGAUGGCACUUAUUAUCUUCUUGCAUGGAGAUGUAAAUGUGCAAAUAAGCUUUUCCAACCUUGAAAAACUAUUUAGUUCAUCUGUUUAUUUUUAUAUUUUUAUAUAUAUAUUGAGGUUUUAGCUCAUUCAAGUGUCUAGAGUUUCCUGGAAUUAAGGACCAAAUUUAAUGUAUAUAUGUCAAUAUUAAUUAAUGUUCCCUCACAGUCACAGAUUAUAGAUGUGGGGCUCUAUAGAAUGCAAAAAAAUGUCUACCAUAUAUAUUCCCUAUUAAUUAGUGUCAUAUCAUCUAAGUGAUAAGGGAAUAUUUGGCGCAGCUGAGUUGGGAAUUGGAAAUGCUAGCCUAAGGCAAUCUAGGCAUCACACAUGUAUAACUUCGAGACUGUAGCAGAAGAACAUGUAAAAUUAUAUUGUGCAAAUAAUAUAUAUAUAUAAAUUGUUGAA